rnacentral:rRNA from 1 species
AUUGAACGCUGGCGGCAGGCCUAACACAUGCAAGUCGAGCGGAUGAAGGGAGCUUGCUCCUGGAUUCAGCGGCGGACGGGUGAGUAAUGCCUAGGAAUCUGCCUGGUAGUGGGGGAUAACGUCCGGAAACGGGCGCUAAUACCGCAUACGUCCUGAGGGAGAAAGUGGGGGAUCUUCGGACCUCACGCUAUCAGAUGAGCCUAGGUCGGAUUAGCUAGUUGGUGGGGUAAAGGCCUACCAAGGCGACGAUCCGUAACUGGUCUGAGAGGAUGAUCAGUCACACUGGAACUUAGACACGGUCCAGACUCCUACGGGAGGCAGCAGUGGGGAAUAUUGGACAAUGGGCGAAAGCCUGAUCCAGCCAUGCCGCGUGUGUGAAGAAGGUCUUCGGAUUGUAAAGCACUUUAAGUUGGGAGAAAGGGCAGUAAGUUAAUACCUUGCUGUUUUGACGUUACCAACAGAAUAAGCACCGGCUAACUUCGUG